rnacentral:rRNA from 1 species
GCCAGACUCCUACGGGAGGCAGCAGUGGGGGAUAUUGCACAAUGGGGGAAACCCUGAUGCAGCGACGCCGCGUGAGUGAAGAAGUAUUUCGGUAUGUAAAGCUCUAUCAGCAGGGAAGAAAAAAGACGGUACCUGACUAAGAAGCCCCGGCUAACUACGUGCCAGCAGCCGCGGUAAUACGUAGGGGGCAAGCGUUAUCCGGAUUUACUGGGUGUAAAGGGAGCGUAGACGGCAAUACAAGUCGGAAGUGAAAUACCCGGGCUCAACCUGGGAACUGCUUUGGAAACUGUAUGGCUGGAGUACUGGAGAGGUAAGCGGAAUUCCUAGUGUAGCGGUGAAAUGCGUAGAUAUUAGGAGGAACACCAGUGGCGAAGGCGGCUUACUGGACAGUAACUGACGUUGAGGCUCGAAAGCGUGGGGAGCAAACAGGAUUAGAUACCCUGGUAA